CCUACGGGAGACUGCAGUGAGGAAUAUUGGUCAAUGGACGAGAGUCUGAACCAGCCAAGUAGCGUGAAGGAUGACUGCCCUAUGGGUUGUAAACUUCUUUUAUAAAGGAAUAAAACGAGGCACGAGUGCCUUUUUGAAUGUACUUUAUGAAUAAGGAUCGGCUAACUCCGUGCCAGCAGCCGCGGUAAUACGGAGGAUGCGAGCGUUAUCCGGAUUUAUUGGGUUUAAGGGGGGCGUAGGCGGGUUUUUAAGUUAGUGGUAAAAGUUUGGGGCUCAACCUCAAAAUGCCAUUUAAACUGGCAGUCUUGAGAACAGAUGAGGUAGGCGGAAUACGUGGUGUAGCGGUGAAAUGCUUAGAUAUAACGAAGAACCCCGAUUGCGAAGGCAGCUUACCAGACUGUGUCUGACGUUGAUGCACGAGAGUGUGGGUAUCGAACAGGAUUAGAUACCCUUGUAGUC
rnacentral:rRNA from 1 species